rnacentral:pre_miRNA from 1 species
CCUCUGCCUGUCCCGGGGGAGGCUGGAUCCUGGGCUGUGUCCCGGCGCCCUGGGCUCCGGAGCCUGCGCUGUUGGAUUCGCGCUCCCGGGCCGCAGCCCCCUCCGCGGAGCCGCCCCCGA